UUGUUUGUUGGGUGAAAUGGGUAUUUUACUUCCUCCACUUACUGGGUUAUGUGGCAAAAGGGGGUGGACAUUUGUCUUUGGGUGGAGCUGUUUAUAUCAUUUGAGAGAAGAGAGACAGAGACGCUUUGUUAGAGAGAGAGGUUUUGGCAAUUGCUGCUUCACGGAUUCCGCCGUUUGCUUCUCAGAUUUUCACCGUUUGCUUUGGUCUGUUCGGUUUUGGUAACAGGAUGGUUGUUCCUGUUCCAUUUCGACACUAGAUACAUGUAAAGCAUCGGAAUCCAAAAAGUCCACAUGGAGAGUUUUAUUGUCUUAUGCCUAUUCGAGGCCAAAUGAUGAUUGUUGUUGUUGCAAGGUAUCGACAUCCUGGGUCGUUGGAGUAUAAAGCAUAUAGUAUUUUUGUGCGCGAGUAUAGGAACGUAUUGGGUUUGAGUGACAAUUUGAUAUGGGCUGUUUGUGAUGAUUUAGUUAAAUGGUUGGAUGUCCCUGUGCAUAAUUCAUUUAUACGCCAUAGUACUCCAGGGCUGUAACGAACGCAAGAAAACUCAAAGAACUGGUAGCAAUAGAACUGACACAACUUCUGAUACCAAAAGCAGACGAAAAUCCAGAAGAUGAUAUCAUCAAAAUUGCCAACCUUCCCAUAUCAGUGGAGAAGACACAGUACCUGAAUGUGCAAGCCUGAUAAACACCCGAUAUUGCAAUAUAGGGUGCGCUAGGUCUUUAGUUUAGUCUAAAUUCAUUGCUAAUUUUGUUAUCUUUAACUGUUUUUGCUCGUAGAGUUUGCUAGUUCUGUUUUAUAAGAAAAUCAUCUAAAUAAAUGAGUUUUAAAGCCCAAAGCUUGGCAAGAUUAUUCAAAGCGCAUAGAUGAUCAAGAACGGAACAAUCAAGUCCAAAGCCUAGGCAGGAAUGACUUGAUGGUGACCCAACGGCUCGCAUGGGCAAGGCAAAGCAGAGCAAGACCAAACGGCUGGAGUUAUUGGGCUCAGAAUCGAUGGGAUAAAGGAAGUUACAUCUAUGCCGAGGGGCUUAUCCAGGGAGGCAGCUAAUGAGCUCGGCAUCAAUGGAAAGAAAUACAUUACAUCGAUGCCGAAGCCCUUAUCACAGCAGCGUAAGCCCAUUGCCAUCGAUGCCGAGGGCUUUAGGAGGGGACUUUUAGAGCAUCUCUUGAGAAUAUGCUGGGCGCGUACCUUAGGAAAGGGAAUAGAUUUCCUUACAUAAUUUUAGAUUUAUAUCUAGAUUUGGAGUUGUUCUUGAAUGUUCUUCAAUUUCCAGCCUUGAAUCUUUAUUUUUCUGUCUUAGUUAGUUUUUGAUAUUGUCGUCUUUAUUAAAGUUGUAGUAAAUUCCUCGAUCUAUCGUUUAAUCCAAUUUUCUUCUAAUAUUGUUAAUUCAAUUAUGUUAAGUAAAUUUUUGCUUACUCAUAGCUCAAUAGAUAUGUGUGAGUAGUUUUUUCAAGGUUAGGUCAUGGGGUGAUUAGCACCACAUGGCUCAAGUAGAAUUGCAUUUUUCACCAUAAAUUUAAACCUUUGGUUCGAGAAUCGAUGUGGGAUUCGGGUUUAUUUGUCAAAUUGCUAAGGUGUUAAUCUCCUUGACCAUGUGUAGGUAAGAGUUUCGCCUACUUACCACACAUGAUGCUUGGAGCUCUGAUGCACGAGACAUUUGCUAAAUAAAUUCUAGAGCUAGCUUGGUAAUCGAACCAUUCUAUUUUUCGAUUUGGGAAUCUUAAUUGUGUAUCCUGAACCAUGUAAUCGGGUGAGAAAUGCAGUUUAACUUGAGUCGUGAGUGUUAGUAAUUCCUAGACAUAACCUGCCUUUUAUCUUAAUUUAUUCGCUUUUCAAUUUAGCCCCUUUCAUUUCCACUACACUCGUAAAACCAAAUUGGCUGUCUAAAAGCCGAAAGCCCUUGCUAGCAUCUACAAAUCCAACAAAGUCGUAUUAAUUAUUCCUUUGGGUACGAUCCCGGUCUUCCGGAUUAUCAUGCUUCAACUGACGUAUUAAGCCAUACGCUUGGGGCGUUAUUCCAUAUAUCAGAACAAACAAAGCAAAGCCAUAGCAAGAAUUACUGAUUUUGCGCAAAACCAAUCUCCACAACGGGCAUGAAUGACGUGCUUUGCACCUAGUCUUCUUAAAAGUACCUCUCUCGAUUCCAAUUGCUGAUCUUUUUUGGGAACUUUUACUGUCUCUAUAAGAAUGGUCAUUCUUUUAUUCAUCCCUUGUCAAAAAAUAAAAUACUAAAAUGCUUUGAAAUUCAAAUCCAAAAUGAAAACUCUCUAAUAAUAAGUAGGAGGCCUUGUUCUCCUAAGCGCUUUUGGAGCUUCUUUGUCUUGUCCUUCGUCAUCUCCCUUUUUUUUUCACGUUUGUUAGUUUUGCACUAUACUUUUAUAGAUUAUUGAUUCGUCUCAGCGAGACGAAUCAGAAAAGUAAUAAAUUUUUUACUUUUACCAAAAUAUUUUCAAAAAUUUCCAAAAUAAAGCCCAAAUAGCCUGACUUUGGGGCAUUAUCUUGGAUAUUUCCAAAAUUAUUAACGUAAAAGUCAAAAAUUUUGGGUUUUUGAUUUCUCUUGUUCAAACAAAUCAAUAAUCCAUAAAAUUUUAACGCAAAAACUAACAAAUGUGACCAAAAAAUUGAAUAAGGACAAAACGUCAAAAAAUCCCAAAAGUCCUUAGGAGAACAAGGCCUAAUUUUAGAUAACCCGAAUGGAGACAGCAACUAAAGGACUUUUCUCCAAGAGGUCGCACUCCCACAAAGACCAAAUGUUUCAAACUUUAGGGCCACGAAAAAUUUGCUCGGUAGUUAACUUCAAGGCCAUAAAAUUAGACAAGAUCCCGCGUGAACUAGUUCAGGCGUCCGAUUUAAAAAAAAAAAAGAAAGACGUAAUAUAAAUAAAGUGAAAUGAUAGUUUCUCCUUAGUAAGCUUGAUUAUUAAAAAAAUUAGACAACAAUUGAAGAUGAAAAGGUGUUUCUAUAGCGAGAUGUGGACUAGAUUUUGCAAAUUCCAAUAAGCACCACAUGGGUUCCAGAUAAGCGUAUAUGGAUGGGUUUAGCAAAUGGGAAAUUUACGUUGAAAUCUGCAUACGUUGGGGCGAAGGAGAUGUUGGAAGGCCAGAGUGGAAAUGCAAGCAGAACCGGUCAAAGGAGUGGAACAAGUGGGGAUGAGGGUAAGUAGAAAAGAAUUUGGCGUAUAAAAGCGCCAAUGAAAGUUAAGCACUUUAUGUGGAGGAGUAUCCAUAAUAUACUUCCGGUUAACAACGCAAUUUUUCAAAGGAAAACGCCCAUGGAUCCAAUGUGCCCAUUGUUUGGUUUGUGUCCAGAAUCUGUGAAUCAUAUGCUGUUUAAUUGUAAUCGUGCAACAAAGGUAUGGCUUCUUUCUCCGUUUCGUUUCCGACCUGAGGUUAUGGUCCGAACACAACUAGAUGAAAUCUGGAGUAGCUUGGGAAAUUUGAGCAAAGGGCAAGAUUUGGGAAGGAUGCUGGGUUUUUUGCAAGUUUGAGUUGGCAGAUAUGGAAGUCCAGGAAUGAAUGGGUAUUUCGUAGAGAAUGGGUGAAUGAGAUGAGAAUCUGUGCUAAUGCAGUGGAAGAACACCAUGAAUUCUGCCAAGCUAUAGAAGGAGGCCGGUGAUCUUAGGCGGGUUCCCCCCAAGCAGGGAAGUAUUGCAGUGACGGGAAAAGGAGGUGUGGGACUUAGUGGGCAGAGAUCGUCGAGGGUGAAGCAGUAAUGAUUAACUGGGCUCAGUGGGCAGAGAUGGUCGAGGCGUGGGGAUUUCGCUCAAAAUGAUCAAUCAAGAAGUUGGGGCCAGAACUAACGUGGACGUCAUCGUCAAAGACUCAAUAAAUUUAUGCAGUUGUUUGCAUUCUUUUUAUGUUUGUUUUUGUUUUUAUGAAAUGACAAUUUUUUUGUUUGUUUUAUUCCUCGUACUUUCUUUCUUUUUUUUUUAUCGGCAACACAUUUUUGUAAUAGAACGGCUCAUGAAAUAGCCAACUAUGCUUUUUAUAUUGAGCACCCGCACCCGAUCUACCAGGGAGAAUUUCCUAGCUGGGUUCAGUGGGUAGCUAGUAGAUUCGUUGGACACUCUCUCAGUUUCGUAAAGCAAUAAAUCUCUAUGGAUUGAAAAAAAAAAAAAAGAAUGUUAUGUUCUAAAGAACUACUACACUCUGCUUGAUUUCCGAACUUAUUUGAAAUCAUUGACAUAUUAUCUUCCACUUAGUGGACGGAGGUUAGCAAAACCGAUUCGACUGCUCACAAGAAUCAAAGCCUAUAAGAAAGUGUUCCACUAACUAAAAUAAAUAUUUAUUUUUUAAAUUAAAUGUGAUAUAUUAUGAGAGAAUAAUCUCUCACGUAAAGCAAAAAAUAAAUACCUAAGAAAUAAGAACAUUAGCGUAUAAAACGGGAUAUAAGUACUUAAAAAAAUAAGAACAUUAACAAAACAUGGCAUAAACUGAAAAUUGCAAAGGGUAAACGAGCGAAGAAUGAGAGGAGGGUAAAAAGGGUACUUGGAAGGCCACAUGGCUCGUGCUCAUAAAUGUUGAGUACAGGGAUCACACGGUGGAGGUCAGUUCUCUUUCGUUCAAGCUUCUGGUGGAGAUAGAAUGAAACCAGUUCUUCUUCAGUUGGGUGGAAAUGGAGUCCGCCCGGUGGCAUUUCUUCCAUUAAUUCCUCUUCUGGUAUUUUCUUGUAAUUUCCCUUUACUCUAUUUUUUAUGCAAAAGUAGAAGCUCUAAUAUCUUCUCUCUUUUUUGGUGAAGCUCUAAUCUGGUAUGCUUUAUGCUGCUUCCGAAAUCUGUCUUUAUCUUGUGUCCGCGUGUGUGCGUGUAGGUAUGGGAGAGAGA